UUAAAUAAUCUUUAACUAGCUUAUUCGAUGUAAAUGACAAUUUAAAACGGUCAAAAUCUUAUACAGUUUAUUAAUUCUUGGUAUCGCAUGAAAAUACGAAAUAAAGUUUUAUAAGUGAAUUUGAACAUAUUUCUGAGCUAUAAAUGGUUUUUACUUGUGAUUCUGACUUACAAAGUAGCGGUGGUUUAUCGAUCUAUCGAGUCGUUUUUUUAGGAGAAGGCGAAUCAUUCUUUUGCAGAUAUGAAAUUAUUGGACCUUCCAGUAAUAGAUGACCAGCUUUGCUGCUUAUUGUGGAUGUGGACGAGUCCACUAAUGAAGAUAUUUUUUUUAACAAAUGGCUCAAAGUUGUAUCAGCAACACUGGUGAAUGGUAUCGUAAGUAACCC